UGGGGAGUAUUGGACAAUGGGCGAAAGCCUGAUCCAGCAAUGCCGCGUGGGUGAAGAAGGUCUUCGGAUUGUAAAGCCCUUUCGGCGGGGACGAUGAUGACGGUACCCGCAGAAGAAGCCCCGGCUAACUUCGUGCCAGCAGCCGCGGUAAUACGAAGGGGGCUAGCGUUGCUCGGAAUGACUGGGCGUAAAGGGCGCGUAGGCGGCCUGGUUUGUCAGGCGUGAAAGUCCUGGGCUCAACCUGGGGAUGGCGCUUGGGACGGCUGGGCUUGAGUGGGGAAGAGGGUCGUGGAAUUCCCAGUGUAGAGGUGAAAUUCGUAGAUAUUGGGAAGAACACCGGUGGCGAAGGCGGCGACCUGGUCCUUGACUGACGCUGAGGCGCGAGAGCGUGGGGAGCAAACAG
rnacentral:rRNA from 1 species